rnacentral:lncRNA from 10 species
GCCCAGCCUCUGGAAUGUUUUAAAGCAAACCCUCUGAUUAAUUUUAGAAACACAAACUGCCUUAGUUCAGUAAUGAGUAAAUCCACACCAGCAGAAUGAUCCAGGACUCUCAAAACUUCACUUUCAGCUAAAGCUUAUGCUGCAGCCUGGGAGCCUGCCUUUCAGCAGGGGGCCUGGGUGGGUGUUGCCUGUGUUCCCCACCUCAAGUUUCUCUUCCUUGCCCUCACAGCUGCCUAUGGCUACUUCAGGGUCAAGAGCAGUGGGAUAGUGAAGAGGGGCGAUGUUCCCACUGGCCCUGACCGGCUAGAGGCAGUGUCAGCUACGAGUCCCAGAGCGGGCUCUUACUCUGUGCUCCCUGGGUCUUGCCUACUCAGAGCUGGCACAGAGCUGACUGCUGGACUGGACAACAGUGCAUGAGCUGAGUAAACUGAGCCCGGGAUUAAGAGGGGAGUCUGAUCGCUGAUGGUGGAAACAGAUACUGGAGUCCCUCCUUACCUGCAGGGGAUAUGUUCCAAGCCCCCUAGUGGAUGCUUGAAACCACAGGUAGUAUGGAACCCUACCAUCCUAUAUAGGGUAGGGUUACUACCCUACUAUCCUAUAAGGUUUGUUUUUUCCUACACAUACAUACCUAUGGUGAAUGUUAAUUUAUAAAUUAGCCACAGUAAGAGAUUAACAAUAACAAUAAUAAAAUAGAACAUUUAUAACAAUAUGCCAAUAUCACUACUCUUGCACUUUUGGGAGCAUUAUUAAGGCAAAGAAGAGUUACUGGGACACAAACACUGUGAUUCUGUGACAGUGGAUCUGAUAACUGAGGCGUCUCUAAGUGACUAACUUGGUGGGGAGUGUCGGCAGCAUGGACAUGCUGGAAAAGGGAUGAUUCACAUCCCGGGCAGGACAGAGCAGGACAGCACAGUAUUUCAUCAUGCUCAUCACGCUACUCAGAACAGCCACGAUUUAAAACUUACGAAUUGUUUAUUAGCAGAAUUUCCAUUUGGUGUUUUUGGACCGAGGCUGACCUCGGGUAACUGAAACUGUGCGUGGAUAAGGGGGACUACUGUACUAUCUGAUUGCUGGGCUGGACAGCAGUGUGUGCCAGGUGUUAAAAUGGACUAUUAACUUGGAAUACAGCCUCUCCCUCUUGGGAAGUGACAAGAAUAUUCUAAUGUCAAGAUAAGUCAAGCUGACCUUGCAUUGUUACUGAAGCCGACGCUCCUCUGCCUAGUCCUUACCCUUCAUCCCGGUCCAGCCCCAACCCUUUCCUGCUGCUGAUCCUCCAUUCUCAGCUCUACACACUGGCUGCUUGCCCUUCCUGAAAUGCUCCUCGGGCUUCCACACUUGGCUGUGUCUUUCCUGGAAGCCCCUUUCCACAUCCAGCUCAUCCUGUUGGAAUUCUCCCCAGUCUUCAAGGCCAGGUUUAAAGGCCAUCUCCUCAGGAAGCCUUCCCUGAUCCUCCAGCUUCCUCCUCAGAAAGUUGACCUUCAGUGCAAACACCAAUCAUGUGCUGCUUUAAUCUGAAGUAAAGGUGUGUCUCUCACCCUUCUCCCUUCUCCUACGCAGCAGUAAUGGAGAGCUUCUGGAGACCUCGCAUAGAAGAAAUCGCUGGGGCUGCUGGGAGUGUUUCAUUGAAAAAGAGAACACUUCCUGGAGUCAUGAGUCAUGUGCCCUAAGCUUCCUUCAACUGUUAAUCAUCUAUCAGACUUUGAGCUCCUCAUGGAAACUCUACCUGGGCUUCUUUGGAGGUCCUUUACACACACACACACACGUGCAUGCAUGCAUGCACACACACACAAAUGCAUACACACACACACGCACACAUGCACACACACGCAUGCACACAUGCACACACACACACCCCUGUUCCUAGCACAAGCAGUGCCCACAUACAACUUCCUGUCUGAUGUGAAAGGUCUCUCUUUUGCACCCUCUUUGGUGGUAUGGUGGGCAGAAUUCUAAGAUGGCUUCCAAAGCUUCCUGUUCCCUGAGUGCCUGUACCCUGACCUGAAGGAUCCCUGAGACUGUGAAUAUCACAGAUUUUACUCCUGUGAUUCAGUUAUGUCAGAUGGUAAAGUUGAUCUUAAAAUAGGGAGAUGAUCUGGGUGGCCCUGACCUAAUCACGUGAGCCUUUUGAAAGCAGACCGUUUUCUUCCAUGGGUCAUAGAAGGGGAAGUCUGAGAGCUUCAAAGCAUGAGAGGGACUUGACGGUGGGUGGGUCCCGUGGCUGAGCUGGAGGAAGUCACGUGGCAAGCCCUGAGAGUGGCCUCUAGGAUUUGAGAACAGUUCCCAGCCAACAGCCAGCAAGACAAAGGGACCUCAGUCCUCCAACUGUAAGAAAGUGAAUUCUGCCAACAGCCCGAGGAAGUCUGGAAGUGGAUCAAGCCUCCAGAUGAGGACACACCUGGCCAGCACCUUGGUUUCAGCCUUACAAGAUGCUGAAAGGAGGACCCAGCUACAAUGUACUGGCCUCCUGCUGGAUGUGGAAGUUCACCCUUGUGAUCACAACUACUUGGGAGGCUGAGGCAGGAGGACUGCUUGAGCCCAGGAGUUCUAGGCUGUAGUACACUAUGCCCAUCAGGUGUCUGGACUAAGUCUGGCAUCAAUAAGGUGACCUCCUGGGAGUGAGGACCACAGGAUUGCUCAAGGAGGGUGAAUUGGCCCAAGUCCGAAACCGCAAGUAAAAAUUCUCAUGCUGAUCAGUAGUGGGACUGCACCUGUGAGUAGCCACUGCACUCCAGCCUGGGCAACAUGGCGAGACCUCAUCUCUAUUAAAACAAAACAAAACAAAAAAGGCUGCACUCCUGACCCAUGGAACAGUGAGCCAGUAAGUUGGUGGGGAGGAGUAUUUUCAUCUGCUCUGCAUGUUAAAAUCAUCUUACCUUAAUACUAGUCAGGAAAAUGCAAAGUAAAAUGACAUUAUAGCAUCGCUCUUAACCCAAUGUGAUUGUCACAAAUUCCUAAAUAUAUAAUAUCCAACGUGGGCAAGGGCAAUGGAAUAUAUAAACACUUGAAUACACAUUUGGUGGGACUGCAAAAUGAUAAGGGCUUCUGGGAGACAAUUAAAAUUUUUAAAUGGGCAUACCCUUCAAUCCAACAACUCCCCUUCUCAAUAUCUGUCCUAGAGAAAUAUACUCAGAGGCAUGUGAGAUAUAUUUAUUGUACCAUUUGGUACUAUUUAGAAACAAGUUAGAGACCUAUUAAUAGAACAGUGGUUAGAGGAGUUGUGGUAGAACCAUACUGGGAAUACUGUAGGUUUCAUACAGUGUUUUAAAACAAGGUAGCAGCUCUAAAUGGGCUAACGUGAAAAGAUCUUGUGCAUAUAUCAGUAGAUGAGAAAAGGAAUUGCAGGACAAUAUUUAUAGGCCACAUUUUAGCAACUGAUUCGGAGACACACACUAAUUACUUUUCAACAGCUCAGAAGGCACCUUACAAUCGAGGGUGGCCCAGUGCCAGUCAAACUGCAUAUCCUGAACAUACGUGAACCCUUGAAAUUUCAGUUAACAAAUCACCUUAGGACCAUUUGAGGAAGGAACAAGGAGUUCUGUCUGUUUCUGAAAGCUUUCUAUGAGAUCAAGAAAGUAUCAGCAUCAAAAAUUUUAGGCCAGGCCAGGAACGGUGGCUCACACCUGUAGUAAUCCCAGCACUUCAGGAGGCCAAGGAGGGUGGAUCACCUGAGGUCAGGAGUUCGAGACCAGCCUGGCCAACAUGGCAAAACCCUAUCUCUACUAAAAAUACAAAAAUUAGCCAGGCACGGUGGCAUACGCCUGUAGUCCCAGCUACUUGGGAGGCUGAGGCAGGAGAAUUGCUUGAACCAGGGAGGCAGAGGUUGCAGUGAGCCAAGUUCAAGCCACUGCACUCCAGCCUGUGUGACAGAGUGAGACUCCGUCUCAAAAAAAAAAAAAAAAAAAAAAAAAAAAAAAAACAUUGUAGGCCAGGUGCAGUGGCUCAUGCCUGUAAUCCCAGCAUUUUGGAAUGCCAAAGUGGGAGGAUCAAUUGAGCUUAGAAGUUCAGGGCCAGCCUGGGCAACAUAAUAAGACCCUGUCUCUACAAAAAAUAAAAAAUUAGGUCAGGCGCAGUGGCUCACGCCUGCAAUCCCAGCACUCUGGGAGGCCGAGGCAGGCAGGUCACCUGAGGUCAGGAGUUCAAGAUCAGCCUGCCCAACAUGGCAAAACUCCCUCUCGACUAAAAAUACAAAAAAUUAGCUGGGCAUGGUGGUGGGCGUCUGUAAUCCCAGCUACUCAGGAGGCUGAGGCUGGAGAAUCUCUUGAAUCCGGGAGGCAGAGGUUGCAGUGAGCUGAGAUCGUGCCACUGCACUCCAGCCUGGGCAACAAGAGAGAAACUCCGGCUCAAAAAAACAAAACAAAAAAAAUUAGGCCAAGCACAGUGGCUCACGACUGUGAUCCCAGCACUGUGGGAGGCCAAGGCGGGCAGAUAGCUUGAACUCAGGAGUUUGAGACCACCUGGGCAACAUGGCAAAACCCUGUCUCUACAAAAAAUACAAAGGUUAGCUGGGUGCAGUGGCAUGCGCCUGUAGUCCCAGCUACUUGGGAGGCUGAGGUGGAGGAUCAUCUGAGCCCAGUAGGCGCACGUUGCAGUGAGCCAAGAUGGUGCACACCACUGCACUCCAGCCAAAGCAACAGAACAAGAUCCUGUCUCAAUAAAUAAAUAAAUAAACAAAUAAAUAAAUAAAUAGCUGGGCAUGGUGGUGCAUACCCACAGUCCCAGCUACUUGGGAGGCUGAGGCAGGGGGAUUGCUUGAAUCCAUAAGGUUGAGGCUGUAGUGAGCUAUCAUCAUGCCACUGCACUCCAGCCCGGGUGACAGAUCAAGACCCUGUUUCAAAAAACAAAAAACAAAUUGCAGAAUGAGUGUUGGCAGCCAGGAAGACAAUCCCUGAGAUAGUAGUGAAGCAGUCUUUUCUUCUUUUUGUUGCCCAGGCUGGUUUUGAACUCCUAGGCUCAAGCAAUUCUCCAAUCUCGGCCUCCCAAAGUCCUGGGAUUACAAGUGUGAGCCACUGCGCCUAGCCACUUUUUAAUAUUUUAAAAGAUAAUUGCCUGUUUAAACAAAAACAGUAACAAUGUAAUGUGGGGUCUAUAACAUAUAUAGAAAUAAAAUGUACAACCGCAGUAACACAAAGAAUAGAAGAAGGGAAAUGAAAAUAAGGCUCACAUAUCAUAAGUAAAGAAACAGAACUCUAUAUAAAGGUAGACUAUGUUAAAAGUAUAUAUUGUAAACCUUAAAAAAGCCACUGAAAAUACAACAAAGAGGUAGUGCUAAUAAGCCAGUAGAGAAAAUAAAAUGGAAUCAUACAAAAUUCUACAUCACUCCAAAAGAAAUCAGGAAUAGAGGGGAAAAGAACAAAGAAAAUGUAGAAUAAAUAGCAAACAAAUAGCAAGAUGUGAGUUUUAAAACCAACUAUAUCAAUAGUUAUAUGAACUAUAAAUGGUCUAAAUACUCCACAUAGAGAGAUUUUUUUAAAGCAAGCUGGUCAUGCUGGAUGAAAAAAACAAGACCCAACUAUAAGUAGAAGGAUGGGGAAAAGAUAUACCAUGCAUAUGAAUCAAAAGAAAUGGAGUUGUUACAAUAGCAUCUGACAAAAUACAAUCAGAGCAAAGAAUAUGAUCAGGGGCCAGGCGUGGUGGCUCACACUUGUAAUCCCAGCACUUUGGGAGGCCAAGGUAGGCCGAUUGCUUGAGCUCAGGAGUUUGAGACUAGCCUGAGUAACACACAGAAACCCUAUCUCUACAAAAAAUAGAAAAAUUAGUUGGGUGUGGUAGCAUGUGCCUGUGUUCCCAGCUUCUUAGGAGGCUGAGGUGUGAGGAUCACUUGAGCCUGGGAGGUUGAGGUUGCAGUGAGCCAUGUUCGUGCCACUGCACUCCAGCCUAUGUGACAAAGCGAGACCUUGUUUCAAAAAAAAAACAAGCAAGAAGAAAUUAUCAGGAUAAAGAGAGACAUUUCACUAUUUAAUUGCUAACUCGUUAAGAGGAUGCCCAAAUCCUACAUGUAACCACAAUCAACAACAGAGCUUCAAAACACAUGUGGUCAAUUGGUUUUUUGUUUGAUUUUGUUAAACUUGUUAUUUUAUAAAGUUUUAGAUUUACAGAAAAUUUGUGAAGAUAAUUCAAAAAGAUUCCAUAUAGUUUGCAUGCAGUUUCUCCUAUUAUUAACAUCUUCCACUGAAAUGGUACAUUUGGCAUAAUUAAUGAAACAAUCUUGAUACAUUACUAUUAACCAGGGUCCAUAAUUUAUUCAGAUUUCCUUCAUUUUUACCUAAUGUCCUUCUUCUGUUCCUGGACAUUAGGUCUGUAUCCAUAAUACCACAUUCCACUUAAUUCUCAUGUAUCCUUAGGUUCUUCUUGGCUGUGACAGUUUCUCAGACUUUCCUUAUUCUGAAUGACCUUGGCAGUUUUUAGGAGUACUGGUAUUUUAUGAAAUGCCCUUCACUUGGAAUUUGUCUGACAUUUUUCUUAUGAUUAGACUGGAAAAAAGACCAAAGAGGUAAAGUCACAUUUUUAUCACAUCAUAUCAAGGGCACAGAGUAACAACAUAGCUGUUGAUGUGAACCUUGACUGCCUUGGCUGAGGCAGUGUUUGUCAGGUUUCUCCAGUGUGAAGUUACUUGGGCAAUUACUUUUUCACAAAGGCGCUAAGGUGAUUUAAUGGAGGUGACAGAAAGACUUUUCAAUAAAUGAAGCUUGAACAACUGGAUAUACUUAUGGGAGAAAAUGAACCUUGACACUUACUUCAUAGCACACGUAAAAAUUAACUUGAAAUGUAUCAUAGACCUAAACAUGAAAGCCAAAAGUAUAAAACUUCUAGAAGGAAAUCUUUGUGAUCCUGAGGUAGGCAGAUUUCUUAGAACACAAACAGCACAAAAAAUAAAUUUUAAAAUUCAUAAAGUUGACUUCAUCAAAAUUUUAAAACAACUCUUUGAAAGUCACUAAGAACAUGAAAAGACAAACUACAGAUUGGGAGAAAAUAUAUCUUUCUCCUUGAUACAGGUCUUUAUCCAGAAUAAUUUUUUUAACUCUUACAAUUCAUUAACAAGGCAAAAAAUCUAAUUUUUAAGUGGCAAAAAUUUGAACAAAUACUUCACCAAAAAAGAUAUGCAAAUGGCCGAAAAACACAUGAAAAGAUGCUCAAUAUCAUUAGUCGUCAAGGAAAUGCAACUAAAACCACAAUGAGAUCCUGUUACAUACUCAUUCGCAUGGGUAAAGUUAAAAAGACUCACAAUAUCGAGUGUUGGUGAGAAUGUAGAGUAAUGAAAAGUUUCAUUUUUCUCUGGUGGAAAAGUAAAAUGAAGCAGUGGAUGCAGUGGCUCAUACCUGUAAUCCCAGAACUUUGGGAGGCCAAGGCGGGAGGACUAUUUGAGGCCAGGAGUUCCAUACCAGCCUGGGCAACAUAGUGAGACUCUGUCUCUACAAAAAAUAAAACAAAUUAGCUGGGUGUAGUGGUAUGCGCCUGUAGUCCCAGCUACUCAGGAGGCCGAGGCAUGAGGAUUUCUUGAGCCCAAGAUUUCAAGGCUGCAGUGAGCUAUGACUGUGCCACUGCACUCCAGCCUGGGUGACAGAGUGAGACUUUGUCUCAACAAAGAAAAAAAAAGUAAAAUGAUGAAACCACUUUGGAAAAGAGCUUGAAAAAUGUUAAACAUACAUUUACUCUACAACCAAUCAAUAUUACUCAUGGGGUUUACCCAAGAAAAAUAAAAACCAAUGUCAUCUAAAGACUUGCACAUAAAUGUGCAUACCAACUUUAUGCAUAAUAGCGAAAAACUGAAAACAACUCAAGUGUCUCUUAACAGGUGAAUGAACAAAUUAUGAUACAUUCAUACAAUGGAAUAGCACACAGCACAAAAUGAUAUGAACUUCCAAUACAUACAACAGUUUGGAUGAGUCUCAAAAGCAUUAUGCUGAGAAAGACGCACCAAACACGAGAGUGUACAGACUGUAUGAUUCCAUUUCUAGAAAAGGUCACCGUAUAUGGACAGGAAGCAAUGGUGCCCCAGGGCCGAGGGAGUUGAUGUACAAGAGGGAACACUUUGGGGUGAUAGAAAUGUUCUUUAUCUCCAUGUUGGUGGUGCUUCCAUUUGUCAAAACUCAUUGAACGGUAAACUUUAAAUUGACGUGCUUUAUUGUCUUCCUUGAUUAAGCUGAUACAAUGCAGCAUCAGAAGUCAAGAAGCUCUGCUCCCGGGAGUUGACGGCAGUCCAGAGUUUUCUGUGACCCUUGGCUCUGCCCCAGGAGGUAUUCUUUUUCCAUUAUCAUUCUCUUUGGCUGAAUCCGAAGAGAACAUUUGAAAAUAUGACCUCUUAGGGGCUCAGCAGAAGACAAGGGCCUCCACUGUUGUUUUAGGUCUGGCGCAGUCAGUCUCUGGUGGCAACAGGACUCUCAAAACAUUCAGCCAAAGGCAUCUUUUAUUUCCGUUGGAGUUGCAGCAGUGGGUGUGAUUACCACACCCUUGAUUUGGUAUUUGCCACCUCGAAGAGCUUUAACCAGCCUUUGUUCCUCAGGACACUUCUUCCUUCUUCUGUUUUAUCUUCUUGAGAGUGACAUAUUACUUCUGCUGCAUUUCAAAG